UUUAGUUUAAUUUAAAGUCAAUUGUAAUUGUCCCAUUUUGUCAAAAAUACUUACAGUAUUGAAAUGUGAGAGUUAUGGGUAAUCUUUUACAUGUUGGUGUUCCUGAUGUUGAAAAAGACGUGCAACAAAGUAGAAAAAGAAAAUUUAUAGAAGGAGAAGAAGAAAUUCAAGAAAAAUUUUCACCAUCACGAAAAAAAUUACAAACAACUUCAGAGUAUAUAUAUAAAACUCUUUACAUCAAUGGAGAGAAUAGUGAUAUCACAAUUGAUGCUCUUGGAAAAUCUUGGAAUCUUCAUAAAGUUUAUCUUUGUCAGUCUCUUUACUUCAAGAGCAUGUUUAAAGGGGAUUGGUCAGAAAAAGAUCAAACUGUCAUCAAACUAACUUUUCCUGAUAGCUUUAUAACUUCAAAAGCAUUAGAUAUCGUGUUCGGAAGCAUGUACCGCUAUGAAGUUGAUGUUGAAGUUUUGAUUGCAAAUUUGAUUCCAGUAAUUGCUGCUGCACGUAUGUUUGACUUGGGUGGUUUGCUAAAGCACUGUGAAGACACUGUAUUGGAGACUAUAAAUGCAGAAAAUGUAUGCAUUUAUUAUGAUGCCUCUCAGAGAUAUGGGUUGACAGAAGUCAGCAAGAAAUGUUUUUCUUGGCUUGAAAGAAAUAUGCUGCUGUGCAAAACUUUAACUCUGGCAAAAUAUUUAACUAAAGAACUCCUAAUAAACUUACUCCAAUCACCAAAUCUUGCUGUGAUGCAAGUUGAGAUGGAUAUUUAUAAUUUCUUAAAAAUAUGGUUAUAUUUUCAAAUGUGUAACGAGCACUCAGAAGUUUCUUGCCCAAAAAGUUUGAUUACAGACACACAAAAGUACUUCCAAUGCAUGCAAAAAAAAACGAAAACCUGUUUUCUGUCAAGUGAAGAGGGUCUACAAUAUGCUGAUGUUUUUAAAUGCUUGAGAUUUGAAAAUAUGUUAGGAGAUGCUAAAUGUAUUUUACUGCUGGAGAAAGAUGCUAUAGUUCCUCAAAAUUGGUUAAUGCCUGUCUACCAAUCACAAUGGAAGUCAAUGUUAUCUGUAUAUAAUGGAGAAGAUACUGGUCCUAAACAAAUAGUUGAAGAUUUAUUUUACAAGCAAGCAUGUCGUUGUGGUAGGAUCCUUGAAACUGAUACAAGGUACUGCUGGCGAUGGACAAAUGAUAAUAAUCAUUUAUUAAAUUUUAUAGUACUGCUGGCGAUGGACAGGUCUUUUUUCAUUUGGUAUUGAUAUUAUACUUAUUUAUAAUAACAGAACUAAAAUUUUAUCUGUAAAAAGAAAUACGUAUAGUCAACCAUGUAACUUUGCUGUUUGCCUUCAAAGUCAAAGAGCAGUCGUAUUAAGGCUGAAGGCAUUUACUAUAAAAACCAACGGAGAAGAACUCAAAGCGUUAGAUACUGGUAUUCUUUUGUGGAAUUUCCAUACCGAUGAAGAAUUGCCAUUAUUAACUUUAGAUGAUACUUGGACUUUUCCCGUUUUUGUUAGCACUAGAUUUCUCCUUUCGAAUAGCUCAUAAUUUUUUUAUCUCAACGGAAAAUAUUUUUGUUGUUUUAAACGUUACCAAGGUUACUCUGGCACCUUUUUAUUGUUUAUAAUUAAAAAUCUAUCGUAAUCUGAAGUCCCAUUAUACAUUUUGAAUCGAAUGAAAUUUUAAAUUUCAAUAUAUUUUUGCAGUAUUUGUGACUGACUUUUUAGUUAAUUUAGCUUUCAAUUUUUACAAUUAUUUUGUUUAUCAACAGAUUUAGCUAUACCAUAUAAAGCUUAGAAAUUAUUAGAUAGGUUGUUUUUUUAUGGUACAGUCCGUGUGCUUUUGGGCAACUGAUUCGCGCUCUUAACUGAUUUUCUGACAAAUUAUGACAGUUAUUUUGUAUAUACCACAAAGUCAAAAAGUUUAAUAAAGUACAUUAAAUUAA